UGGACACCCUAGGGGCAGCUCUGGGAGGCACACCUGGAACCCACUUCUUUCCACCACCUCCCUCAGUGCCUCUGUCUUCCCUCCAGGUCCAUCCAAAGUCCAGAGUCUGAACCAGGUCAUCAGCCCCCUGGGGCGUGUGGCUCAGAUUUUCCUUUCACACUUCUGCAGCAAUUCUCAUGGGGAGCAGACCUCUCCCUACAACAGGGGUCUCAGUGGCAAUGACUUUGCCUCUUGGGGAAUAUUUGGAAAUUUCCAGGGACUUUCAUGGUUGUCACAACUUUGGAGGUUAUGUGGCUGGCAUCCCGUGGGUGCUAAGCAUCCUACAGUGCAGAGGGCAGGCCCCCCAACAAAGAAUUCUCUAGCCCCAGCUGUCAUAGUGCCAAGAUCAGUUCCUUCUUGGCAUUCCCCUGUGCAAGUCCCCUCAACCAGGACUUCAGUGGCACUCAGGAUUCCUCCUUAACUUCAGCUGGAUUCACCUUCAGGAAAGCUGGAUCUGAAAACAUCCCUCUCCUGCUCAAAGACCUUCUGUGGAUCCUCCAUUUUCCCCUGAGGUUAGAAGUCCAAAUUCCUCCAUAAAAGCCCAAUCCAUCUUUGCAACCUUAUCAGCCACAGCCCUCUAAUUAUCCUGCACAUUACGGUCUAGGUUCCCCUCACCUUUCUCACAUUCUCACUGCCGUGAUCUUGCUCAUGCUGCAUCUGGAUGACUUUUAUCCAUUAUCUGCUACUCUUCAGCCAAGUGUUUUCUCAAAUAGCAGGUCCAUCAUAGAGCCUUGGCUGAUGGCCCUAUCUGGA